AACGAACGCUGGCGGCAUGCCUAACACAUGCAAGUCGAACGAGACCUUCGGGUCUAGUGGCGCACGGGUGCGUAACGCGUGGGAACCUGCCCUUAGGUUCGGAAUACUCCCCGGAAGGGGUUCCUAUACCGGGUUAUUUCUUCCGACCAAAGAUUUAUCGCCUUUGGAUGGGCCCGCGUUGGAUUAGCUAGUUGGUAGGGUAAAAGCCUACCAAGGCGACGAUCCAUAGCUGGUCUGAGAGGAUGAUCAGCCACACUGGGACUGAGACACGGCCCAGACUCCUACGGGAAGCAGCAGUGGGGAAUAUUGGACAAUGGGCGAAAGCCUGAUCCAGCAAUGCCGCGUGAGUGAUGAAGGCCUUAGGGUUGUAAAGCUCUUUUACCCGGGAUGAUAAUGACAGUACCGGGAGAAUAAGCUCCGGCUAACUCCGUG
rnacentral:rRNA from 1 species